rnacentral:rRNA from 1 species
CUUUGCCUACGGGACGCAGCAGUAAGGAAUCUUCCACAAUGGACGAAAGUCUGAUGGAGCAACGCCGCGUGAGUGAAGAAGGGUUUCGGCUCGUAAAACUCUGUUGGUAGUGAAGAAAGAUAGAGGUAGUAACUGGCCCUUAUUUGACGGUAAUUACUUAGAAAGUCACGGCUAACUACGUGCCAGCAGCCGCGGUAAUACGUAGGUGGCAAGCGGUGUCCGGAUUUUUUGGGCGGAAAGCGAGGUCAGGCG